GACGAACGCUGGCGGCGUGCUUAACACAUGCAAGUCGAACGGAAAGGCCCUGCUUUUGUGGGGUGCUCGAGUGGCGAACGGGUGAGUAACACGUGAGUAACCUGCCCUUGACUUUGGGAUAACUUCAGGAAACUGGGGCUAAUACCGGAUAGGAGCUCCUGCUGCAUGGUGGGGGUUGGAAAGUUUCGGCGGUUGGGGAUGGACUCGCGGCUUAUCAGCUUGUUGGUGGGGUAGUGGCUUACCAAGGCUUUGACGGGUAGCCGGCCUGAGAGGGUGACCGGCCCCAUUGGGACUGAGCUACGGCCCAGCCUACUACGGGAGGCAGCAGUGGGGAAUAUUGCACAAUGGGCGGAAGCCUGAUGCAGCACCGCCGCGUGCGGGAUGACGGCCUUCGGGUUGUAAACCGCUUUCGCCUGUGCCGAAGCGUGAGUGACGGUAAUGGGUAAAGAAGCACCGGCUAACUACGUG
rnacentral:rRNA from 1 species